ensembl:lncRNA
AGGUCUCGCUCACCGCCUUCGGUCUGUCUAUUCUUGUGCUGGAGCGGCUCCUGGCUGUUCCUGCUCUCCGGUGCCUUGGCUCUGUGGUAAAGUCCUGCAGUGUGGUGUAGUUUGUUUGGCUGCCAAGCUGCUGCUGUUGACCUGAGACAGAAAUAGAACGGAGAUUGAGCUCCGCCGCCAGACCUUUUAACAGUGACAGGGGUGCAGCUGGAGGAAUAAAAUCACCUUAAGAAAAGGCUACAUCUGGUGGCUGUUGUGGAGAUAUGGUGAAGCUCAUGAAAUGAUGAAUUUUGGAGAUGCAGUACAGGCUCUGGAGGUGCAUUUGGAGUGUGCAGUUGAUGCAUGCCUCAAACAAUCAUGCUGAAGCUACUGUGCAGACCUGCUGGAUCUCCUUGGCGCUGCGUUGCCUCUGCAGCCGGUUCAUCCUGCUGCCUCGGUCCAGCUGUUCGCUGAGCGUCCUCAGCUUUCUGUCUCUGUCGUCCAUGUCGGCCCUCAUCUGUUCCAGACUCUGCACUCGAUAACUGUCCAGCUCCUUUCUGCUGCGAGCCUCCUGAGCAGACUGAUGCCGGACCACCUGGAGCUCCUCCGUCUGGGAGAAAGAAUCAUUUAGUGAAUAUGUCCAGGCAGCACUUGGUAGAUUCACUGUCUUUUCCUCCUAGCUUCUGGUGUUACAGGAAUUUAAAAUGUGGUCACUCACUUCACUGCAGCGCUUCACAUGAAUCAUGAAGUCUGUGGCAGUUCCAGUUCCAGAUUUGAUGCUCACUUUUUAGCAGCAUAUUUACAAACUCUAUUGACCCCAGCAGCCAUCAGUAGCUCAUCUUCAUGUUAGCAGAUGUUCAUGCAGCUGUGAAGUGUGGAUAAGAUUUAACAAACCUUCCUGCUGAGCAGCUUCUUGGUGCUGCUGCAGUCGUCCUGAAAUCAAGCUAAAACCUGCUGGAUGACGUUCAGCUCCUCCUGCAGCAAAACCAGCUUCUCCUGUGAAAUCAGCUUCACUCUGAGAGCCUCG